rnacentral:rRNA from 1 species
GAUGAACGCUGGCGGCGUGCCUAACACAUGCAAGUCGAGCGUGAACCGUCUGAAUGAAACUUCGGUCGAGUGAGGAUGGGGGAAAGCGGCGGACGGGUGAGUAACGCGUAGGCAACCUGCCCCGUACAGAGGGAUAGCCUCGGGAAACCGGGAUUAAGACCUCAUAAUACCAUUAUCUCACAUGUGAUAAUGGUCAAAGAUUUUAUCGGUAUGGGAUGGGCCUGCGUCUGAUUAGCUGGUUGGUGGGGUAACGGCUCACCAAGGCGACGAUCAGUAGCCGACCUGAGAGGGUAAUCGGCCACAUUGGAACUGAGACACGGUCCAAACUCCUACGGGAGGCAGCAGUGGGGAAUAUUGCACAAUGGGCGAAAGCCUGAUGCAGCAACGCCGCGUGAGCGAGGAAGGCCUUUGGGUCGUAAAGCUCUGUCGAGGAGGAAGAUAAUGAGGUACUCCUCGAGGAAGCCCCGGCUAACCUACGUGCCAGCAGCCGCGUAAAACGU